rnacentral:ncRNA from 2 species
AUACAACCAUACGGGGGUCCGGGGAACCGGGCUGAGAGGGUCUCUGACACCGGGGCCGACCGUGGAACCUGAUACGGGUCAUGCCGUUGGAGGGAAUGGAACAGGCUGGACU